rnacentral:rRNA from 1 species
GACGAACGCUGGCGGCGUGCCUAAUACAUGCAAGUGAAGUUCAGUGGCGGACGGGUGAGUAACACGUGGGUAACUACCCAUCAGAGGGGGAUAACUACUGGAAACGGUAGCUAAUACCGCAUACUAUCGGAUAACCCAUAUGGGAUUAGCUAGUAGGUGAGGUAAUGGCUCACCUAGGCGACGAUCCCUAGCUGGGCUGAGAGGUGGAGCAGCCACACUGGGGAGGAGACACGGCCCGGAAGCCUACGGAGGCAGCAGUGGGGAAUAUUGCACAAUGGGCGCAAGCCUGAUGCAGCCAUGCCGGGUGUAUGAAGAAGGCCAUAGGGUUGUAAAGGACUUUCAGUCGGGAGGCGUUACCGGAAGAAGAAGGAACGGCUAACUCCGUGCCAGCAGCCGCGGUAAUAC